ensembl:rRNA 5S_rRNA 5S ribosomal RNA
GCCUACGGCCAUACCACCCUGAGACUGCCUGAUCUCGUCUGAUCUCGGAAGCUAAGCAGGGUCGGGCCUGGUUAGUACUUGGAUGGGAGACCGCCUGGGAAUACCAGGUGCUGUAAGCU